CUGUGGAGUGCUUAGACAUAAUGGGACAUCUGUACCAUAUCUUCUUCUCCUUCCAAGGCUCAGGGAACAAAGUGAAAAGGGGGACUGAAAAGGGCAAGUGUCAGGGAAGGCUGGGGUGAAGGAGUGUCCUCUGUACAUGACAGGACCACUGCAAUCAUGAGCUGAUGGUCGCUGUGGUUGCCCGCACAAGAUCAAGCCAACCAGCACUCCAGACUGAUGGAAAAGAGGCACACAAGCUCCCCAACCCAGCUGAGAAGUUAUUGACAGUUAAUGGCUGCCUGCAGUGAGAAGGAAUAAGAGGACUGUCUGUGUGGUAGCCGAGAAUGUAAAAUAAGAACAGGUCCGUAAAGCUCUCACUGCAGUGGCCAGAGUGUGGAGGAGCUUGGUGACCUCCAGCUGCAGACACUGGGAAUGUGGGCCAAAGAGCCAUCUGAAGCUCUAUCAAGAGGACAAGAGACCUUAGGUUACUUACUCUGUGAAAGUCCCAACCUUCGAAAGAAGCCAGGCUAAAACACGCUGCCAAGAGACCUAGCCCUGACCAUAUCACCUGUACUUCUAGACCAAGGUAAGUCUUCUCGUUGGCAUACAAAUGGUGUCCCAGUGUGAGCAUGGCUCUGCAUGUUAAUUUGUUUCCUUAACCUAUCCUC